rnacentral:rRNA from 1 species
AUUGAACGCUGGCGGCAGGCCUAACACAUGCAAGUCGAACGGUAACAGGAAGCAGCUUGCUGCUUCGCUGACGAGUGGCGGACGGGUGAGUAAUGUCUGGGAAGCUGCCUGAUGGAGGGGGAUAACUACUGGAAACGGUAGCUAAUACCGCAUAAUGUCGCAAGACCAAAGAGGGGGACCUUCGGGCCUCUUGCCAUCGGAUGUGCCCAGAUGGGAUUAGCUUGUUGGUGGGGUAACGGCUCACCAAGGCGACGAUCCCCAGCUGGUCUGAGAGGAUGACCAGCCACACUGGAACUGAGACACGGUCCAGACUCCUACGGGAGGCAGCAGUGGGGAAUAUUGCACAAUGGGCGCAAGCCUGAUGCAGCCAUGCCGCGUGUAUGAAGAAGGCCUUCGGGUUGUAAAGUACUUUCAGCGGGGAGGAAGGGAGUAAAGUUAAUACCUUUGCUCAUUGACGUUACCCGCAGAAGAAGCACCGGCUAACUCCGUG